rnacentral:rRNA from 1 species
UACGUAGGUGGCAAGCGUUGUCCGGAAUUAUUGGGCGUAAAGCGCGCGCAGGCGGUUCUUUAAGUCUGAUGUGAAAGCCCACGGCUCAACCGUGGAGGGUCAUUGGAAACUGGGGAACUUGAGUACAGAAGAGGAAAGCGGAAUUCCACGUGUAGCGGUGAAAUGCGUAGAGAUCCGGAGGAACACCAGCGGCGAAGGCGGCAUCCUGGACUGGUCCUGACGCUCAGGAGCGAAAGCGUGGGGAGCGAUCCGG